rnacentral:rRNA from 1 species
AUUGAACGCUGGCGGCAUGCUUUACACAUGCAAGUCGAACGGCAGCGCGGGCUUCGGCCUGGCGGCGAGUGGCGAACGGGUGAGUAAUGCAUCGGAACGUGCCCCGUAGUGGGGGAUAGCCCGGCGAAAGCCGGAUUAAUACCGCAUACGACCUGCGGGUGAAAGCGGGGGACCGAAAGGCCUCGCGCUAUUGGAGCGGCCGAUGUCGGAUUAGCUAGUUGGUGGGGUAAAGGCUUACCAAGGCGACGAUCCGUAGCUGGUCUGAGAGGACGACCAGCCACACUGGGACUGAGACACGGCCCAGACUCCUACGGGAGGCAGCAGUGGGGAAUGUUGGACAAUGGGGGCAACCCUGAUCCAGCCAUGCCGCGUGCGGGAAGAAGGCCUUCGGGUUGUAAACCGCUUUUGUUCGGGAAGAAAUCCUCUGGGCUAAUACCCCGGGGGGAUGACGGUACCGGAAGAAUAAGCACCGGCUAACUACGUG